UUGAAUUUUGGAUGAGAUCAGCCAAGAAACUUAGAUUUCAAAGUAGGGAGUAGUUGAAGUCUCCCUUCUGCAGUGACUGCAACAUUGAUUGUAGAGAUUGAUGGUUAAUGUAGAAUAACGUUUUAAGAUAUUUACUCGACAAAUUAUCUCAGAUCGAUAAUGACUAGUAGAAAUAAACAAUAUUAGUAAAUGCCGUGUCCCAAAGGCAUGUCAAUUGUCAAGUAGUAGUAAUUAACACAAUUUAAUUCAUGAGUGUGAAACAACACCUGAAGUCUAAAAUCUAACUAUUGUGGAUGAUAUAUAGGCCACACAACUUAAACUUAGGCAUCAAGGCAUAGUAAAUGGGAACUAUUUUCUUCCUACUAAUUUUCCUACUGUCUUUCUACUAUUGUAUACCCAAGAUCAUUUCCACUACAACAAAUGUAAUCACGACAAAUCAGUCAAUUGCAGAUGGUGAAACUGUUGUUUCAUCAGGUGGAACCUUUGAGCUGGGAUUUUUCAGCCCCAAUGAUUCUACAAAGCGAUACAUUGGGAUAUGGUACAAACAAAUUCUUCCUCAUAUGCAAACAGUUGUAUGGGUUGCAAACAGAGAGAAACCACUCACCAAUACAUCUUCAGUCGUUUUGAAGGUUAACAAGUGGGGAAUACUUGCUCUUCUCAAUGGCAAGAAUGAAAUGAUAUGGUCCACGAACACCUCAAGAUCAGUCCAAAAUCCAGUUGCAGUGCUUUUAGAUUCUGGUAAUCUUGUUGUCAAAGAUGCAAAUGAUGACAAUCCAGAAAAUUUCCUCUGGCAGAGCUUCCAUUUUCCAACUGAUACGCACUUGCCUGAAAUGAAGCUUGGCAAGAAUUUUAGAACUGGCCAUGAGGUUUACCUUUCAGCAUGGAAGAACGAUAAUGAUCCAGCUGCAGGUGAAUUCACACGUCACAUUGAUCCUACUGGAUAUCCACAAGCCCUCAUCAAAAGUGGCACAAGUGUAGCGGCUCGUAUAGGGCCAUGGAAUGGUUUACGAUGGAGUGGAUCACCCAUACCACUACUAGAAUGCUGCUUUUUUCAAUUUAUUUUCAAUGAGGAGGAGGUUUACUAUAGCUUUUCACUCAUUAACAGCUUGGACUUAACAAGACUAGUCCUGACUAGCAAUGGUUAUAUACAACAUUUAAAGUGGGUGGAUUGGACAAAGAGAUGGCAUAUUUACUACAAUUUACCAGCGGAUUAUUGUGAUACACAUAGCCUAUGUGGUGCCUAUGGGAGCUGUGAUAUAGAUGAUACACCGGUUUGUGGAUGUUUGGAAAAGUUUGUAGCUAGAUAUCCACAACAAUGGGAAAAGGGAGAUUGGUCUGAAGGGUGUGUUCGGAGGACACCCUUAAAUUGCAAAAAGGAACAUGUAUUUAUAAAAUAUUCUGGAAUCAAAUUGCCAAAUACUAAGUACUCUCAGUAUAAUAAAACCAUGACACUCAAAGGGUGUAGGCAAGUAUGCUCCAGGAACUGUUCUUGCACAGCUUAUUCAAGUCUAGAUAUAAGCAACGGAGACAAAGGUUGCUUGUUUUGGUUCGGGGAAUUGAUUGACAUCCGAAAGCUGUCUGAAAGAGGGCAAGACAUUUACAUCAAGAUGGAUUCUUCAGAGCGAGGUAAUAACUUGUUUAAGAAAUUUCCCAUGAUGUGUUUCUUACACUUAGUGGCCUAUCUCGAUUUACCAUGGCUGAUUUAAGAAAUUUAUUGCAGAAUCUGAGGCAGGUUCAAAAAGAAAUAAGGCAAUGAUACUCACACUCAUGAGUUUCUCAUUGUUGAUGGCAAUGAUUCUGCUAAGCCUGAUUUUUUUGUUGCACAAACGGAAAAAGAAGAAGAAACUGCUACUCAAAGAAGAUUUUGCGCUGCAAAUGUUCCAAUUGUCGACAUUAACAAGAGCCACAAAUAACUUUUCGCUCAACAACAAGAUUGGAGAAGGUGGAUUUGGAGCUGUUUACAAGGUAUAUAGAUCAAAUUUGUUUGUAAAGUAACUAGUUUAUGCUCAAGGUUAGAGUGUUGGAGAAGAUUUUAAUUUUGCAAUGUUCUCGUCUUUGUAAAAUCUCUGCUUUGCUAUUAUACAUUUUGUAAAGAAAUGAACCUUGCGUAACUCAACCCCAAAAGCGAGCAUUGCCCAAACCAUAUAAAGAGUCCAAAUUCUCCUCAUCCCACCAACGUGGGACUCAAAGACCCCGUCUCACACUGGACAUCUAGAGAACAAUUAAUAUGGGGGCCCAACAUCGGUAAACCAUAAAUUGGGAUGGGCUUAGCUCUAAAACCAUGUAAUGAAAUGAACCUUGGGCUUAACUCAACUCAAAUGCUAGCUUAUGAGGGGAGGAUUGCCCAAGAUCAUAUAAGGAGUCCAAAUUCUCCUCAUCCCACUGAUGUGGGACUCUAACACAUUUGCCAUUUCUAGGGAUUGCUGGAAGAGGGGCAAGAAAUUGCCGUGAAGAGACUGUCAAGGACUUCCAUGCAAGGAAUUGAUGAGUACAAGAAUGAAGUUAUCUAUAUUGCCAAGCUUCAACAUCGAAAUCUUGUGAGACUUCUGGGCUGCUGCAUCCAAGGGGAUGAAAAGAUGUUGAUCUAUGAAUACAUGCCAAACAGAAGCCUGGAUUCGUACAUAUUUGGUUUGGAUUUCUAACCUACUACACAAGAUAAAAUGAGUAAUACUUUGAUCUAUUAGUCAUAACCUGAAAGAAACUGCUAACGAGAAAACUUAUUUUGUAGAUCAAACAAAGAAAAAAUUACUUGAUUGGCCAAAGCGUUUCCACAUCAUCAAUGGAAUUGCUCGUGGCUUAUUAUAUCUCCAUCAAGAUUCUCGACUACGAAUUAUUCACAGAGACCUUAAAGCAAGCAAUGUUUUGCUAGAUAUAGAAAUGAAUCCAAAGAUAUCAGACUUUGGCAUGGCCAAAAGUGUUACAGGAAAUGAGAUGGGAGCAAAAACACACAAUGUAGUUGGGACAUAGUAAGAAUCUCUAAUAUUAUACAAUGUACUCUCAUAUGACAUCUUGCUUUAAUUCUCAGGGUGUUAUUUUGUUGGCACAGUGGUUACAUGUCCCCAGAAUAUGCAAUAGAUGGGAUCUUCUCGGUAAAAUCAGAUGUAUUUAGCUUUGGCGUCUUGUUGUUAGAGAUUGUGAGUUGCAAGAGAAAUAGAGGGUUUGUCCAUCAAGAUCACAACCUUAACCUUCUCGGUCAUGUAAGCACUGUAUAACCUUUAUUACACACACAACUCAUUCUUUUCUUUACAGUAAUGGAAUUUGUCAUGAUUCAUAACAUCUAAACUCAAACAGGCAUGGAAGCUUUACAAAGAAGAUAAGUCUUUGGAACUAGUUGAUGAGCAGCUGGCUGAUUCUUGCAAUAUUUCUCAAGCUUUGAGGUCAAUCCAAGUGGGUUUAUUAUGCGUGCAACAACAUCCAGAUGAUAGACCAAGCAUGUUUUCUGUGGUUCAGAUGUUGGCUAAUGAGAGUCUACUUCCAAAAGCAAAAGAACCGGGAUUUUUCAUAGAACGAGACGUAUUUGGUGAAGAGAAAUCAGGAUCACAGACAGGAAGUUCAAAAAAUGAUGUCACAAUCACAUUGUUAGAUCCUCGGUAGAGUGUGACAAAGUAACUCUUUUUAGUGGCGGAGACAUGAUUUGGGGGUUCAAAAUAUAAAAUAGUAAACAAGCAAAAAACAAUUGAUGAUAAACGGAGGGGCUAACCUUAAUCCACUACAUUUUAGCUCGCCUUGUCAUGCCUUGCUCCAUUGAGCCAUUCUAAAAAAUUCUUAUGCUUUUUUUCUCUUUUCACUUUGCAGUGUUUAGACCUUUUUUUUCUUUCAUCUGAAUUAGUGCAACUCAUUUUGAUGUCAAUAAACUGCAUUCACCCCAAAAAGUAGUGAGUGCAUUCUUUUACGUCACAUAAAUUGUCAUAUUGCAUUAUACCCCUAGUAAAAUCAUAUAAAAUUCUCAACAAAAUCAAUUUUUGAGAAAGAAUCAUAUUUUCUUAGAAUAAACUAUUUCAAUAACCAAAUGUUGACCAUUCAAAACCCAGCAUAACGUGAGGCCAAAAGACUUUUCACUAACUCUGCUAAAAUGAAGCAAUAUAUUUUGAACCAUUUCAAAACCCAGAGAAGUCCUUAAAGGGUGAGACCACUCUAAUCAGAGAUAAAAAUAUGUAAUGAUACCUCAAAUGAACUGCGCAUUUUCCACUAGCGAAAGACACCUGCUCUCUAAUUUCUAUUCUUUGUUAUUUGUAUCGAACUUAUAUGUUCCAAAGGCGAAAGUCAUUCUUCUGAUUCAAUAGAGCGAUAACUACACUACCCUCUCGAGUUAUUUCAUUUUUUUUUUUAAUGAAAAUUGGAAUCAAUCAGAAAGAAACUUUGAUAUACCAACUAUAAAUUAUUAUUAUUUUUGUAAAGAACAAAUAAGAAAAGCCAGAAUGAAAUCAGAUUCGUUUCUUCUUAAAUAAAGUUUAAUCUAUAAGUGAAUGCCAAUUAACUCAAACGAGUACACAGGUAAUGUAGAAUCACUCCACCAACAAUUUUCCCCAAAUAUCAAAAUCAUGAAAGUAGCAGCAAAGAACUGAAGAAGUAUACCAAAAUAUGGAGCCCUAGCGUUACAACGGAGCGGCGACUGCCGGAGAUGGAGUCUGG
rnacentral:lncRNA from 1 species